CUGUUCUGAGAGCUUACUGCUUAGGUCACACUGCAAGGGUGGAGAAAGAAUUCUUCUCCAACGUCUUCCGUCGUUCUCUGCUCUUCAUCGUCGAGGCCGUCGCUGUUUUGUCUCCGCGUGAAUCUCCAAGUUGCAAUGGCGUCUUCUAAGAGGCCAAAUGCGGAGUCGAAUGGGAAAGGGAAACGCCAAAAAUCUUCAGGCGGUUUUUCGCCGUUGGAUGUUUCUCCGGGGAGCGUGGUGUUCCGUUUGCUCUGUCCCGUUUCUAGAAUAGGUGGUGUUAUUGGCAAAGGUGGUGCUAUCAUAUCGCAAAUUCGCCAAGAGACCGGUGUGAAGGUGAAGAUUGAGGAAGCUGUGUCUGGGUGCGAUGAAAGGGUUAUUACUAUAUCAGGUUCUGAUAAAGAGGCUGAAGAAGAUACUGCUGGGAAGGGAAGGGAGGUUAAUGAGGAUGAGGCUGGGAAUGAGGGGAAGGAUGAGGAGGAGAAGGAUGGUGGCAAUGGGGAUGGUAAUGAAGUUAAAGGUUCUGUUCCAGUGGAAGAUUCGCAGAGUGACAAGGGUAAUUCCGAGAAGGGUAAUUCGGCUAUUCGGAAGGCUAUCUCACUGGUUUUUGAGAGGAUAGUCGAGGGAGUAGAGGAGGCAACUGAGGGGGAUGAAGAAAACAAUAAAUCUUCUUGCAUUGUUCUUAGGUUACUUGUUCUUACUACUCAAGUUGGUUGCCUCCUAGGAAAGGGUGGCAGUGUGAUAAAGAGAAUGGCAGCUGAGAGCGGGGCACAGAUUCGGAUCCUUCCUAAGGACAAACUUCCGGCGUGUGCAACGGCUUCUGAUGAGACAGUGCAGAUCACAGGGGGUGUAGAAGUUGUCAGGAAAGCUCUUCAAUCUGUUUCUCAACAGCUCUUGGAAAAUCCACCUCGGGAUCACGAGUCCAUGUCUGCAAAUUUUACAGGGCCAUCAACUCAUUCAUUUGGGCAAUUCCCAUCACACAACCGUUCUUUUCCUGCUGGGCCUCAUGAUAUUUCUUCUUUUCAUUCUGCCCCCCCUUUGAUUACCAAAUUUCAUGAAGCUGCCAUCCAUGGUCGCACAAGGCCUGUACAGGAAAUGCUUACUUUUCGUUUAUUGUGUCCUGCGGAUAGGGUAGGAAAUAUAAUUGGUAAAGGUGGGGCAAUCAUAAGGUCAGUUCAGCAAGAGACAGCAAGUGAAAUCAAGGUUGUAGAAGGCCCUCCAGAUUCAGAAGACUGUGUUGUUGUUAUAUCUGGUCCAGCGCACCCAGAUGAUAGAGUAUCCCCGGUGCAAGAGGCUGUAUUUCGUGUGCAAACUAGAAUAGCCAAGGCUAUACCUGAUGGCAAAGAGCAUACUAUAUUAGCAAGGUUUCUGGUUUCUUCCAAUCAAAUAGGUUGUCUCCUUGGCAAGGGUGGUUCCAUCAUAACUGAAAUGAGGAAGAAAUCAGGGGCCCAUAUUCGUAUAUUAGGAAAGGAUAAGGUUCCUAAGUGUGCUUCUGAAGAUGAAGAAGUAAUUCAGGUAAAUGGAGAAAUUGAGGCAGUGCAUGAUGCUCUUUUGCAAAUAACCACUAGAUUAAAACAUCAUUUCUUCCGCGAUUCAUAUCCAUCUGCUAAUUAUCCUUUGAAUUCUCCAUUUCUGGAUCAACUCCCUCCGUUUCCACCAUAUCUAGGAAGGCGUGGACUUUCACCUCCUGGAAUGUAUUCUGACCUAGGGCCUCCACCACCACAUAUGGGUUUUCAUCUUGAUGACCGCCCUCCUUUUUUGAAUAAUAUACAUAGACCCGGCCUUCCUCCUCACAUAUCUGAAAGGAAGCCUUGGGGUCCUCAGGGGAUACUUGAAGGUGGUGCACCCAUUGGCAUGCCAGACUUUCCAGGAGGUCCUCCCAGGAGAAUUUCAGCAUUUGCAGGAGGGAGCCAACCAAUUAUCACAAGUACGACUGUUGAAGUUGUUGUUCCUCGAGCACUGGUGCCUGUAAUAUAUGGGGAAGAUGGUGAAUGUCUGAAACAAAUACUUCAGAUCUCUGAUGCAAAUAUUACUAUCACUGAUCCAAAGCCUGGAGCUGUGGAAACAAAAAUUAUAAUAUCUGGAACCCCAGAGCAAACUCAUGCUGCCCAAAGUCUUAUUCAGGCAUUUGUGAUGAGUGAGAGGGAGUCUGGUUGAUACUCUAUUUGGAACAAUUGUUGGACAUUCCUAUUGGACUAGAUUGACUUAGAAUAUAAAGGACAGUUGAGAAAUGGAGUUUGUUGGAAGAAGUCUCUGCGUUCUGAUUUAAAUGCCUGGUUCUUCAUGGAUUGGUUUUGCCAUCUGAAGGUUAGAUUGUUUUCCUCUGACUUAUGAAUCAAGAUACAAGUUUAGUGAAUACUUCCCUGAAUCGAGUGGAUAAAUGUUGUAACUGUACCAAAGAUGACAAUAUUAAAUGAUAUUGCAAACUUUCAUACAUCUUGGAAUUAUUCUUUUGACAUUUAUACAAUGCAGCUGGGUGUUAUGUUCUU